CCUGACUUAGUUCAAGAUGGCAUCUUAAAGUCUGAAUAGGUUAUCUGGUGUUUAUACUAAGUCGUAAGUGUACAGUCGUGGGAGAUUCACGGAUUUGGGGAAGUUCCAUUAACUUGGGGUUACCACAGUAUAUUGUGUACUGCAAGAGUCGUAGCAUAGCCUUGAAGCUUGUUUAUGCAUUAUUGUUAUUGUAAUUCGUCUGGGACAAAAUGGCGCAAACAUAUUAUGCACUGAGGUUAUUGCUUAAAGAAACA